AGCAGCCGCGGUAAUUCCAGCUCCAAUAGCGUAUAUUAAAGUUGUUGCAGUUAAAAAGCUCGUAGUUGAAUUUCGGGAUCAAUAUGUUGGUCGUGCCUCGGUACGUACUAGCAUAUUGGUUUCUCCUUUCUGAAGAACCAUGGUGUCAUUUAUUUGGUGUCGUGGGGAAUCAGGACUGUUACUUUGAAAAAUUAGAGUGUUUAAAGCAGGCUCACGCUUGAAUACAUUAGCAUGGAAUAAUGAAAUAGGACGUUUGAUUCUAUUUUGUUGGUUUCUAGGAUCGACGUAAUGAUUAAUAGGGAUAGUUGGGGGCAUUAGUAUUUCAAUUGUCAGAGGUGAAAAUUCUUGGAUUUUAUUGAAGACUAACUACUGCGAAAGCAUUUGCCAAGGAUGUUUUCAUUAAUCAAGAACGAAAGUUAGGGGAUCGAAGACGAUCAGAUACCGUCGUAGUCUUAACCAUAAACUAUGCCGACUAGGGAUCGGAUGAUGUUAAUUUUUAAUGUACUCAUUCGGCGCCUUA
rnacentral:rRNA from 1 species